AAGAAAAGAUUUAAAUAACAAGAAAACCUGGAGUUGAGCAGCACCUAAAGAUCAGUGAGCAGCUCCAACAUGAUUGUACAGAAGAGCUAACAGGCACUGGAAGUCUAGAGAACAGGCAGAGAUACCCCCUGCACUGUGUAAAAUUAUGAAAAAUGUAUCCAUGAGGUCCUGCUAUCGCAGUGGUAGAAGACUCAAGCCAGGACUUUUAGAGCUUGUAGGUGCUGAGGUAAUCAGGAAUGCUUUCACCAAUAUUCCAGUCCUCUGUCUGAGCACACGGUGAGACGGAACUUCUCAGCUGCCUCAAAGGAUGAAGGAGGAGGCUCCCUCAGCCUGGUUAUCUGGGUGGAGAUGAUACAGAGCAAAG
rnacentral:lncRNA from 1 species